rnacentral:lncRNA from 1 species
GGAGCUAAACAAAUUGAAUACGAAGAAGAAAGAACAAAACAAUGGAAAGAAGUUUCGAAACUAACCUAGGUUGGCCUGAGGAAUGCAAGAAGACGGUAAGGACGGUGGAAGUCGACCUGGAGGACAUCUAAGGCCGAGAAGGAUGCUAAAGGAGGCUGGAGCUCUUGGGAAAGAGGAGGAAACUGAGGGACUCUCUCAGGCAAAGUGAAAUCCCUGAAGGAGGAGGACGUAUUUAAAUAGGCAACAGGGCCCGG